rnacentral:rRNA from 1 species
AUUGAACGCUGGCGGCAUGCCUUACACAUGCAGGUCGAACGGCAGCACGGGUGCUUGCACCUGGUGGCGAGUGGCGAACGGGUGAGUAAUACAUCGGAACGUGUCCUGUAGUGGGGGAUAGCCCGGCGAAAGCCGGAUUAAUACCGCAUACGAUCUACGGAUGAAAGCGGGGGAUCUUCGGACCUCGCGCUAUAGGGGCGGCCGAUGGUGGAUUAGCUAGUUGGUGAGGUAAAGGCUCACCAAGGCGACGAUCCGUAGCUGGUCUGAGAGGACGACCAGCCACACUGGGACUGAGACACGGCCCAGACUCCUACGGGAGGCAGCAGUGGGGAAUUUUGGACAAUGGGCGAAAGCCUGAUCCAGCAAUGCCGCGUGUGUGAAGAAGGCCUUCGGGUUGUAAAGCACUUUUGUCCGGAAAGAAAUCCCUGGUCCUAAUAUGGCCGGGGGAUGACGGUACCGGAAGAAUAAGCACCGGCUAACUACGUGCCAGCAGCCGCGGUAAUACGUAGGGUGCAAGCGUUAAUCGGAAUUACUGGGCGUAAAGCGUGCGCAGGCGGUGAUGUAAGACCGAUGUGAAAUCCCCGGGCUCAACCUGGGAACUGCAUUGGUGACUGCAUCGCUUGAGUAUGGCAGAGGGGGGUAGAAUUCCACGUGUAGCAGUGAAAUGCGUAGAGAUGUGGAGGAAUACCGAUGGCGAAGGCAGCCCCCUGGGUCAAUACUGACGCUCAUGCACGAAAGCGUGGGGAGCAAACAGG